GUCUCCUGAGUCUACUGUCUUGACGCAGAGUGUUACCAUUUUGUGCUCGAGGCUUCAGAUGUCUAUGACAGAACUUAUUAUGUGCAGUUUCGACCUCGGUCUCUAUUGGUGCCUCUCCACCUUUUCCUGAAAGUGAAACGGAUUUUAUGAGGGGUUCCCCCCACACUAAAGCCAAAUUAUUUUAUGCCCAUUAGUUGAUUUUUAAGAAAUGUAAGUGACAAUAACAUUCAGUAACUCACUUUGCAAUGCUGAUGAUCAAGCUAGGCUGUAUUUUACUGUCACCAUGCCUGUUGCUCCAGCUAGGCUGUAUUUUACUGUCACCAUGCCUGUUGCUCCUAAGGCCAUAGUAAAUAAAAUACAGUAUAGAGGUGUAAAAAAAAAAGGGGGUUAAACAUGGAUAGGGUGUAUGUGAGUCAAUCAGUGUAGUUUCCCUGCACCUGAUGUUUGUGUUUCAGGUGCAGAUGUUUGUUGUCAGACGUUUGUUGUGUGUGCUUUUUGUUAAAACCGUUUUAUGACAAAUGCAAUAUAUCUGCUUGAUGAAAUUACCCAAACCCUCACAAUUCUAUGUGCACAAUAGAAAAUAAAAUAAUUCAGAGAAUAAAAUUAUUAUUAUGUCUGGUUUGAAAUACUCUAAAAUUGACUUAAAUGUCUUUCUUUUGCUGUAUUUAUUUAGUGAGUCAGCAUGUGGAGGGUGAGCUACCAGCAGCUAGUAGUAGCAGCAAUGAAACAGCCUUGCCAGGUAACAGUGCAGUGGAAGAGCAGAGAGAUGCAGCAGCUCCUGAAGUGGCUGAGGAUGUGAGAGUGAGACAGGCAGCAGAAUGUGAGGUAGCCCAGCCGAGCUCUGUACUUGACAGUGACCUUGGCUUCUUCAUAGAUGCAACCAAAUCUAUUGAGGAAAUAGCACAGGCUGUGUGUCAGAUGUCUGAUGGCCAAAAGUACAAUUUGGUGAAAAACCACGUCAGACCUUCGAAACAUUUCAUUUUCCCAACUACAUUUAUUGGUGGGUGCAACAGGGCAUUCAGGUAUGAUUGGUUUGAGGAGCAUGGAUGGUGGCUGGUUUACAGCAUGAAACUCGAUGGCGCUUUCUGCAUAUGCUGUGCUCUCUUUCUCAAUGCCACAGAGAGGAAACAGUCAACUUCACUGAUAAAUGCGCCCUUCAGUAAAUGGCAUAAGAAAACGAAGAUAAUUGGAAGCCACCAAUCGAAAGCAAACCAUUUAGUGGCAUUUGAAAGAGCAAAACUGUUUCGACAGUCACAUGAAAACCCCAAUACCCGGAUAUCAGUCCGUAUGGACAGUGCAAAGGAGACCAACAUCAAAGAGAACAGGCACAUUCUCAAGUGCGUUGCAGAGGCUGUUCUCUACUGUGGCCGUCAAUGCAUUGCACUGAGAGGAUCAGCUGAGCAGCAGCAUUGUAGUGGCAAUCCUGGGAAUUUCUUGGCCCUAUUGAAACUGCUUUCAAAUCACGAUGAAAAGCUGAAGCAGCAUUUGGAGAAACCAAAGCUAAAAAAUGCCACAUAUCUAUCACCUCAAAGCCAAAAUGAAAUGAUUGAUGUAAUAGGGAAGCACAUGAUUCAGGCCAAGAUCGUGGAAGAGGUCAGGCAUGCUCAGAUGUACACAGUCCUAGCUGAUGAGGUCACAUCCCAUAAUGAAGAGCUGAUGCCAAUGUGUGUUCGCUUCGUGGACAAAGACUUAAAUAUCAGAGAGGAGUUGCUUGAGAUUUGUACUUUGCCACGGAUCACAGGUCGCCACAUUGCAAGCGCGAUCAAAGAUGUGCUGAGUCAUCUAAGCAUAGAGAUUGCUGACUGUCGAGGCCAGGGGUACGAUGGCGCCAGCAAUAUGAGCAGCGAAAAUGUUGGCGUUCAAGCUUUGAUAAAAAAGGAUGCGCCUAAGGCAGUUUAUAUGCACUGCAAUGGGCAUUGCUUGAACCUUGUCAUUGCACGCUCUUGUGCUCUUCCAGUUGUGCGCAACAUGAUUGAUAAGAUGAAGUACAUCGUCAUGUUCUUCACCUGCAGCCCGAAGAGGGAACACCUUCUCAAGGAGGUUGUAGAUAAGGAGGCACAUUCUACCGGAAAGCGGAAGCCCCUGAUUGACCUCAGCCGCACAAGAUGGGCAGCACGGCAUGAUGCCUACAGUCACUUCUACAGUGCCUUUGUCUUCAUUAUUAAGGCUCUGGAAGUCAUGGCACAGGGUCUCCAUACAGAGGAGUACAGUGAAGAUGUCACCAGUGGAUGGGAGGGCAAGUACAAAGCAGAGGCCUAUGGUCUCUUGAGUGGGCUACAAAACUUUGGAUUCAUCCUCACAUUCCUCACCGUAUACCAAGUUUUAUCCCACCUGGCGGGCAUCACGGUGAAACUGCAAAGCACCUCACUCGACAUCAUCGAGGCAUUUAGCAUGGUUGAUGAGGUGAAGUCUGUCUACAAGGAGCUCCGCGAGACCAUCGACGACGACUUCAAUCAAAUCUACGAACAAGCAGUUAGGAUGGCUGCUCAGGUCAACGUGGAACCAACCCAGCCGAGAGCAGCUGGAAGGCAGAAACACAGGGAAAAUGUACCCGCUGAAGGAGUGAAGGAGUACUAUCUCCGGAACAUGACGAUACCCUUCUUAGACCAUGUCAUUUCAGAGUUUGAGUCCAGAUUUAGUCCCCUCUCUGUGACCGCAUCAAGGCUCAUGGGCCUAAUUCCAUCUGUCCAGUGCAACUCAGAUGUAACGGUGGACAUCUCUGAAGCAGUCGCUCUGUACCAAGAUGACUUGCCAUCACCAGAGGUCAUUGACCAGGAGCUGAAACGGUGGAAGUUGAAGUGGCAGGUCAAAGCAUUACACCAAAGACCAAGCUCAUGUGCCUCAGCUAUCAAAGAGUGUGAUGAGAUGAUGUAUCCGAACAUCUUCAAACUCCUGAAAAUUGCAUGCACCUUGCCAGUGACCUCCUGCGAAUGUGAGAGGUCUGCCAGUGUUCUCCGGAGACUCAACACAUUCAUGCGGAGCAGCAUGGGAGAGGACCGCAUGUCAUCCUUGGCUCUCAUCCAUACCCACUACGACAUGGCUCUGGAUCUGGAUGAAGCUGUCGAUCUAUACUCAAAAAUGCACCCAAGACGAUUGGAGCUGAUGAGCGUUCUGAUGCAAUAGAAGCCAUAGAAGAAGAAGAGGGAGACAUGGGGGGUGGGUCAUUUCACGUGAAAUCAGACACUUUGGGGCCCAACCGACACAGAUUUUAAUCAAACUUUGUGUGCCUUCUUAGUGGUAAGGUAGAACCCCAGAACUGCAUUUGCAUGAAUCUGGCACUAAUAUAAGGGAGAAAUGGACUAAGAAUGUUUUAAGUAAGAGGGUAGGGCACUACACAUUCAACCUUGAUUAUGUCAAUUUAAAUUACAAAGAGAUGGUUUUGAUGCUGUUUGAAAGCUCUUUUCUGGAACACUUCAAUUUAUAUCAUUAUUAAUUCAUGUUUAAGUUUUAAUGACCAUACCGAUAGUGUACUUCAUGAAGUAAUUCUUAUCUAUUUAUGUCAACAGUGGAGAGAUAGACAAUAAAGGACAGCAACAACAGACAGACAGAACAACAACAGAGACAGACAAUGGAGGGCAGCAACAGACAGGCAAUGGAAGAAAGCAACAGACAACUGAGUGGGGAGCAACAGACAAAAAAUGAAGGACAGCAACAACAGACUCACAACAAACUUGACGAUGAAUAAAAUAUGUCUAAAUUAAAAGAUUUGAAGUGUGCUGGUGUAUUUAGGGGGCAUUGGAGUAGGGAGCCAAAUGAAGUCCACUUUCGGGGGGAAAAGAUCCCCCCCCACCACAAUGCUGGCUACGGGC